GUAGGGAAUCUUCCACAAUGGACGAAAGUCUGAUGGAGCAACGCCGCGUGAGUGAAGAAGGGUUUCGGCUCGUAAAACUCUGUUGUUAAAGAAGAACAUAUCUGAGAGUAACUGUUCAGGUAUUGACGGUAUUUAACCAGAAAGCCACGGCUAACUACGUGCCAGCAGCCGCGGUAAUACGUAGGUGGCAAGCGUUGUCCGGAUUUAUUGGGCGUAAAGCGAGCGCAGGCGGUUUUUUAAGUCUGAUGUGAAAGCCUUCGGCUCAACCGAAGAAGUGCAUCGGAAACUGGGAAACUUGAGUGCAGAAGAGGACAGUGGAACUCCAUGUGUAGCGGUGAAAUGCGUAGAUAUAUGGAAGAACACCAGUGGCGAAGGCGGCUGUCUGGUCUGUAACUGACGCUGAGGCUCGAAAGUAUGGGUAGCAAACAGGAUUAGAAACCCCGGUAGUCC
rnacentral:rRNA from 1 species